rfam:Myotis lucifugus cont2.47334, whole genome shotgun sequence.
CACGAAAUUCAGGGGUCCCUCAGCCUGGAUUGCGAGAGGGCGCAGGCCAGGCUGGGAGACCCUACCAGUGCAUG